CGCGGAUCAGCAUGCCGCGGUGAAUACGUUCCCGGGCCUUGUACACACCGCCCGUCACACCAUGAGAGCCGGUAAUACCCGAAGUCAGUAUCCUAACCGCAAGGGGGGGAGCUGCCGAAGGUAGGAUUGGCGAUUGGGGUGAAGUCGUAACAAGGUACC
rnacentral:rRNA from 1 species